UACGAAGGGGGCUAGCGUUGCUCGGAUUGACUGGGCGUAAAGGGCGCGUAGGCGGUUCGUACAGUCAGACGUGAAAUUCCUGGGCUCAACCUGGGGGCUGCGUUUGAUACGUGCGGACUUGAGUGCGGAAGAGGGUCGUGGAAUUCCCAGUGUAGAGGUGAAAUUCGUAGAUAUUGGGAAGAACACCGGUGGCUAAGGCGGCGACCUGGUCCGAUACUGACGCUGAGGCGCGAAAGCGUGGGGAGCAAACAGG
rnacentral:rRNA from 1 species